GGAUGCCAACUGCUAGUAACGGAAGAAGAAGAGGAAAAACUUUUAGGCAGCAACAAUUUGGAUUUCACGGGACUUUUCCUGCUCCAGGGUCUGUGUGCGUGCUGCCAGUGCUAGUGACAGCCUGCGGAGCGCCCCUUGGUGCUGGGGGAACUCCUCACACAUGCGGUGCAAAAUGGUGCUAACAGUGUUCACACGCUCCAUCUGGUUCUGCAGAGUGGCUUCCACGGAUUCGCUGGUGGAUAAAGCUUGGUAGCUCCCCUCACACACACCCUGCAGCUUCUUGGCAUGGCUCUGUAGAGCCACAAGUCUCUCAGUCCCUGCUGACAAAAUCUGGAAUGAUGUUUGGGCGCUGCUUGGACAGAGAUGGACGGUAUUUCGUAGCAGUUGGCCAUUGCAUCGCAACAGGAAAGGGCCCCCUGGGUGGCAGUCAUGCUGUCCAGAUGUUGGCUGACCUCGCUGCCUUCCAGUCCCACCGCCAAUAUCUCAUUCUCCAGCCGACACAACUGAUAGAUCUACAGAGGAGGAAGAGACAAUAACAAAAUGUAUUAUUAUUAUAUAAAUGUAUCUUAAUCCUUUGCAUAUUUCAUACAAAUUGUUUGUAAUGUGUUUUUAAUGUUCCAUCAUCUGCACAUUAUAAUUUUUGCAGUUUUGGCAUCCUCUUUGCUGUUUAGGUCCCCAGCUGUACUCCUUUCUGUAAGACAGGCCCAC